UAAGUUUGAGGCGCUGCAAGAACAAUUUCUCAAACAGCUUUGGGUUGUUAUGAUUCCGCUUCGCUUGGGUUUUUGCCACAUUUUGGAAUCAUUAUGGAAUCGUCAUUUUGGCCGUUUUCCAUUCAUCUGGUCUUUAGUUUCCACAACAACUUCCUUAGGAGUGAUUAGAGUGGGAUCCCAUGAAGGUAGUCACUGGGAUGGAGACUCGGCAAUUCAUUAACUCCCUCAUUAGGAUGGAAUUGUGCUCCAAUAUACUCUGCAAAAGUAUUUACUUUUUCCAAAUUAUUACGAGCCCAACAACCAUCGAAUUUUCUAAUAGGAGGCACUUGUGUUACUAGUUACUUAAGAUAUUUAAUAUGUAUCCAAAGACACUGUUAUUGCACGUUUUUCAAGUGCUUCUUUUUCUGUCUCUAUGGUAUUGUCCAUAACAUUUCUCCAACUACCACUGUGUCUCCUUUCAUAGGAUUUUUGCUUUUGCUUAUUUUAUUCUCCAAUCUUGUCUGGUAAAGAUUUCUUAUUGAUUAAUUUCUUUCUAUGGGGUUUUAUUGUCAUUUUAAUCUUCUCCAAGACGAGAUUAUGAUCACUUCCGACGUCUGCAGCAUAGACAUUUUAUAUCUAGUAUUUGUGUGUAAUAUAUCCCUCUAUUUAUGUAGAUGUAAUUCAUCUAUUUCCUAUUUACAAUCGCCCAUAUAACAAUUACUUCUCAUCUUAGUACUUCGUCGAUUGUCUUUUGUAGUUCUUCAUAGAAUUUUAUUCUGGAAGAAUUUUCUGGACUGACAUUGAUGGUUCGAAUAAAGCAACAAUAAAAAUGAGCGACAAGUUAAGAAUUUACCUUGGAUUAGCUCUGGUUUUGUGUUCUGCUUGAUCUACUUCCUUUACAUUUGCACAUCGAGAAAUUAACUAGUAUUACAAUUAAUUUGCAACUCUGUUCUUUUACAGAUGGACAACCUGAAUAACAGUUUGAUCACUACACCAUUAUUGUUAUGUAACACUUGCAAUAUGAUGGCGUUCUAUGAAUGUUGCUGCAAAACAAAGGUUUAUUGUUCAUUUUAUUGCCAGAAAAAGGAUUGGAUUACUCACUGUUAUGAACAUAAUUAUCGCAGAGUCUAAUUUUGUCAGUUAAAUAAUAUUAUUUUGAGUUCCUAUUUUGUUAUAUUUUUAUGAUUUCAAUUAAAGUAGUUUAAUGAUUUA